rnacentral:rRNA from 1 species
UGCAAGUCGAACGGGCUUGGGGGGCUUGCUCUCCAGGUUAGUGGCGAACGGGUGAGUAGAACAUCGGAACGUACCCAGUCGUGGGGGAUAACGAGUCGAAAGAUUCGCUAAUACCGCAUACGACCUUAGGGAGAAAGCAGGGGAUCGCAAGACCUUGCGCGAUUGGAGCGGCCGAUGCCGGAUUAGCUAGUUGGUAGGGUAAAGGCCUACCAAGGCGACGAUCCGUAGCAGGUCUGAGAGGAUGAUCUGCCACACUGGGACUGAGACACGGCCCAGACUCCUACGGGAGGCAGCAGUGGGGAAUUUUGGACAAUGGGGGCAACCCUGAUCCAGCCAUUCCGCGUGGGUGAAGAAGGCCUUCGGGUUGUAAAGCCCUUUCGGCCGGAGCGAAACGGCAGGCUCUAACAUAGCCUGUUAAUGACGGUACCGGCAGAAGAAGCACCGGCUAACUACGUGCCAGCAGCCGCGGUAAUACGUAGGGUGCGAGCGUUAAUCGGAAUUACUGGGCGUAAAGCGUGCGCAGGCGGCUCUAUAAGACAGAUGUGAAAUCCCCGGGCUUAACUUGGGAACUGCAUUUGUGACUGUAUGGCUAGAGUGCGUCAGAGGGGGGUGGAAUUCCACGUGUAGCAGUGAAAUGCGUAGAGAUGUGGAGGAACACCGAUGGCGAAGGCAGCCCCCUGGGAUGACACUGACGCUCAUGCACGA